UACGGGGGGAGCAAGCGUCGUUCGGAAUUACUGGGCGUAAAGGGCUCGUAGGCGGCCAACUAAGUCAGGGGUGAAAUCCUGGAGCUCAACUCCAGAACUGCCUUUGAUACUGGCGAUCUUGAGUCCGGGAGAGGUGAGUGGAACUGCGAGUGUAGAGGUGAAAUUCGUAGAUAUUCGCAAGAACACCGGUGGCGAAGGCGGCGACCUGGUCCGUGACUGACGCUGAGGCGCGAAAGCGUGGGGAGCAAACAGG
rnacentral:rRNA from 1 species